GUAAGAUCAGGAAGUAUCCAAUCUCCUGUCGCAAAUGGACCAGUAUUUCCCAAAAGGCAAUCAAGAAGACCCAAAAUUCCCAUUUGCUUCCUUGACAUGUUAAAGUGAUCAAAUCCAAAAUUAUAAUAAUCCUUCAGCAUGCGUAUGUCAAGCCAAUCAUAAAUUAUCACUCCUAGGCGAAGGAUCUGAAGCAGACAUAUUGGUUUCAUGGUUCUUCCAUCUUCUGGCUGCAUCCCAUCAAAGUAUGUUCUUGUAGUCCCAUUGAAGGCCCCAGAUAAGGAUGUGAGGCUUAAUACCCAAUUCUCAGAAGUGUUCUCAUAUCCCUUAAAAGCCUUAUCAGCAAGCAUUUGCUGCAGCACUCGAACAACCUGUGCUCCAGCGGAAUGCCCAACAAAGUGAAUUGGGUGAUCCUCAUCCCAUUCAGGAUAGUGUCCUUGUUCGUAAAUCCGUCCAAAUUGAGAGUGCCCACAGGCCUUGCUGUGUUCUUCACCAUAAUCAACUUGCCCGCCUUUCAAAUAAUAGAACAACUCGCGAGCCCUAUCAUAUAUGCUGGUUAAGGACCCCAAAUCAGGCACCAGAACCUUAUCAUCUUUCUUCUCAGCCCCCGCAAAAUACGAUAAACCUCCCAAUCUCCCCUUGCCAAAUCCAAAGAUUCCAUGAACCAACACAAUCGGAGGCAGGCUAUCACCAUUGGUGGUGGUUUUUGAUGUUCCUCUGGGCUCCUCCUCUUUCACCACAAUAUUCAUAUUAGGCUUGCAAAACCAUUGGUUUAGAAUCUGUGAGAGAUCACCAGCCACAGCUGAGCUAAAUAUGUAAAGGCCAUAAACCACAUGCACUACAACACUAACAAAUAGCUCUGUUAAUUGCAGAGCAGAUAUCCACCACCUUAUCAUUUUCUCAAAUUCACCAACCAAAGCAAGAAGGAAAAGAAAAAGAAAACAAUAACCUAAAAACAGAGCCUUCUUCAAAACUAG
rnacentral:misc_RNA from 1 species